UGGGGAAUAUUGGACAAUGGGGGCAACCCUGAUCCAGCAAUGCCGCGUGUGUGAAGAAGGUCUUCGGAUUGUAAAGCACUUUCGACGGGGACGAUGAUGACGGUACCCGUAGAAGAAGCCCCGGCUAACUUCGUGCCAGCAGCCGCGGUAAUACGAAGGGGGCUAGCGUUGCUCGGAAUGACUGGGCGUAAAGGGCGUGUAGGCGGUUUACACAGUCAGAUGUGAAAUCCCCGGGCUUAACCUGGGAGCUGCAUUUGAUACGUGUAGACUAGAGUGUGAGAGAGGGUUGUGGAAUUCCCAGUGUAGAGGUGAAAUUCGUAGAUAUUGGGAAGAACACCGGUGGCGAAGGCGGCAACCUGGCUCAUGACUGACGCUGAGCGCGAAAGCGUGGGGAGCAAACAGGAUUAGAUACCCUGGUAGUCCACGCUGUAAACGAUGUGUGCUAGAUGUUGGGUAACUUUGUUAUUCAGUGUCGC
rnacentral:rRNA from 1 species